CACAGACCCCAAGAUGUCAAAGCAUCACAAUAAGAAGGUGCAUUUAAUAGAAGAAGGAUGAGCACAUGAGCUGGCACCUAUGGUGGUCAUAUGCCUUCGGAGCAUUGGAUAACAAGUCUUCAAGAAAGGAGGAGAAAAUGGACUUCAGCGAAUGGUUUCAUGGGGCUCUGGGGCCAUCAUGUGGUGACAAGCAGGCGCAUAGAGCACGAGAAAGAAGAGAAAGAAGGGGAGAAAGGCAUCACAGGCUGUCAGCAA
rnacentral:lncRNA from 1 species